rnacentral:rRNA from 1 species
UGAGGAAUUUUGGACAAUGGGGGAAACCCUGAUCCAGCAAUACCACGUGAGUGAAGAAAGCCUUCGGGUUGUAAAGCUCUUUUAAUGGGGAAGAUUAUGACGGUACCCAUAGAAUAAGCACCGGCUAACUCUGUGCCAGCAGCCGCGGUAAGACAGAGGGUGCAAGCGUUGUUCGGAUUUACUGGGCGUAAAGGGCGCGUAGGCGUAUUUGUAAGUCAGCUGUGAAAGACCGGGGCUCAACCCCGGAACUGCAGCCGAUACUGCAAGUAUAGAGAUAGUAAGAGGAAAGCGGAAUUCCUAGUGUAGAGGUAAAAUUCACAGAUAUUAGGAGGAACACCAAAGGCGAAGGCAGCUUUCUGGGACAUAUCUGACGUUAAAGCGCGAAAGUGUGGGUAGCAAACAGG